AUACGGAGGGGACUAGCGUUGUUCGGAAUUACUGGGCGUAAAGAGUUCGUAGGCGGAUAAGCAAGUAAGAGGUGAAAGCCCAGGGCUCAACCCUGGAACUGCCUUUUAAACUGCUUAUCUAGAGACCGGUAGAGGUUAGGGGAAUACCUAGUGUAGAGGUGAAAUUCGUAGAUAUUAGGUGGAACACCAGUGGCGAAGGCGCCUAACUGGACCGGUACUGACGCUGAGGAACGAAAGCGUGGGGAGCAAACAGGAGUAGAUACCCUAGUAGUCC
rnacentral:rRNA from 1 species